rnacentral:rRNA from 1 species
UGAUGCAUGCUUUAAAGAGGUCCCAGGAAAUAGCGCUUAAGUUAAUAAGUCCGUACCGCAAACCGACACUGGUAGGUGGGUAGAGAAUACUAAGGCGAUUGAGAGAAUGAUGCUGAAGGAACUCGGCAAAUUGCACCUGUAACUUAGGGAGAAGGGUGACCUGUCCGCGGGCAACCGUGGGGAGGUGGCACAAAAGAGGGGGUAGCGACUGUUUACUAAAAACACAGGGCUCUGCUAACACGUAAGUGGAUGUAUAGGGCCUGACGCCUGCCCGGUGCUGGAAGGUUAAUAUGAGCGGUGAGAGCUGCAAGUUGAAGCCCCAGUAAACGGCGGCCGUAAAACUGACGGUCCUAAGGUAGCGAAAUUCCUUGUCGGGUAAGUUCCGACCCGCACGAAUGGCGUAACGAUUUCCCCGCUGUCUCCAGCAUCAACUCAGCGAAAUUGAAUUCCCCGUGCUGAUGCGGGGUACCCGCGGGUAGACGAAGAGACCCCGUGCACCUUUACUAUAGCUUUACAUUGGUGUUAGAGGCACGAUGUGCAGGAUAGGUGGGAGACUUUGAAGCUGGGGCGCCAGCCCUAGUGGAGUCAUCCUUGAGAUACCACCCUUCGUGUUUUUGGCAUCUAACUAUGCUCCAUUUUUCUGGAGCUAGGACAUUGUAUGGUGGGUAGUUUGACUGGGGCGGUCGCCUCCUAAAGAGUAACGGAGGCGUGCGACGGUAGGCUAGAGCUGGUCGGAAAUCAGCUUUUAAUAGUACAAA